GGAAUCUUAACCGGUUGGUGAAGCACUGGGGCAAAAUAUGACUUAAAGGGUAUCUUAGAGAAAACAACGAUCAAUUCUUUGAGAAGCUGAAAUGAAAAUGAUAAGAGAUAAAAAGAGGAAACUUCUUGGAAUCAAAUCAGUUGGAUAAUUAGGAAUUAAUUUUGGGCCCUAGAAUACCAUUGGUUUUAGUGGUUUUCAAAGCAUAGGAUUUUAUUUUAAUUGGCUUUUUAGUUUUUAUUUUUGUUAUUGUGUAGUCACGGCUUUAUUAUAUAUUUUUU
rnacentral:lncRNA from 1 species